ensembl:lincRNA Gm20546 predicted gene 20546
AGUUCCCUGGGUGUAGCCUAGCGAUGGAGGCUCAUAGUCACUCAGCACCUGGCGUUAUUGGGAGGAGGUCGCCUUGCUAGUAGACCCCCUGGUUCUUCUGGAACUCAUGACAUAGAUGAGGAUGCCUCUACCUCUCCAGUGCUUGGAUUAAAGGGGCAUACAUCUCAUAGUUGGUGCAGGAAAUCCACUUUUGCACACCAUAACCUGUAUCCUAUUGCCGCAGACCUUCUGGGUCCCUGUGUCUGCGUGGAACGGGGUCUCUCGACGCGGGUGGGCAAAGCGUGGAUGAAUNNNNNNNNNNNNNNNNNNNNNNNNNNNNNNNNNNNNGCAGAUCUGUGGUUUGCUGGUCAGCAGCUUCAGCCUGUUGUUUGCCCUUUGCUCCCCUCUUCCCUUUUAUCUGCACUUUUUCGUUUGAUAUUUAUCCUUUCCCGUGGCUUUUUUUGGCUUGGGAGGGGUGGGCUUGACCGAUAGCCUCGCGUAGCGGCGCUUGGGUUCCGCCUCCAUCCGUGUUAACCUUCCUCUUGGGCAUCCUGGCGGCGCGAAGUGGGAGAGGCGUGUGUCACCGGAUCUGUCCCGAGCUGCACCACCAAGCCCUCACCACACUAACUGCUGCGACCCGUCGCGGGGGCGGUGGGAGAACCGGAUCGUCUUAGCCUCUUGAACAGCUGGGACUACAGUGCUGAUCAGGGUGCCAGGCUGAACCAAAUGUUUAUUCUAUUUGAAGAACUCUUUGAUAGCCUGAGAGUCUUUGCUGUAGUCCUUAGAGUAUGCAUAUGACUGCAGCUGGCUCUUAGAGGAACCAGAACACGUGAACAAACCACAAAGAUUUAUGAGGGAACUACAUUCAUGUGUAUGUAUGAGAGUAUGUUAUGUGCGCUGUGUGCAGGAGCCCAAAGAGAUCAGAUGUUAGAGCCUCAGAACUGGAGUUAUGGGCAAUUGUGAGCUGCUAUGUGGAUACUGGGAACCAAACCCUGGUCCUCUGCAAAAGCAGCAAGCGUAGUUAUCUCUCCAACCCCCCAGAUUCUGUUUUUCCCUCCUGGAACUUGAUCUUAAUGGUCUCCUAUACAAGGGGAAUCAAUCUCUCUCUCUCUCUCUCUCUCUUAAAAAAGUAUAUUGUAGCUGUUUUCUUUCUUUCUUUUUUCUUUUUUUUGAUUUAUGUAUUUAUUUUAUGCAUGAGUACACUGUAGUUGUCCUCAGACACACCAGAAGAGGGCACUGAGUAGCAUUACAGAUGGUUGUGAGCCACCAUGUGGUUGCUGGGAUUUGAACUUAGGACCUCUGGAAGAGCAGUCAUUGCUCUUGACCGCUAAGCCAUCUCUCCAGCCCAGGGAAUCUUUUGAUUGAACUAUGACAUCAGAACUCAAGUUUUCCUGCUCCUAUGCUGGGGAUGAUGCAGAUCAGUUGAUAGAGUGCUUGCCUUGCAUGCACAGGGUUCAAUCCUCCGCACCACGGAAAAACUGUGCAAAGCUUUUGGGGCCACUUCUAGAAACGUGGCAGGAAUUUGACCUUGGGCCAGGAUACGGAAGUAAGCUCAGGCAGGAAUUUGACUGUGGGCUAGAACAAAUAGACCUCAGGCAGGAAAUUGACUUUGGUCUAGGACUCCGAAGUAGGCAAAAGAUGAAUGCAGCUGAGGAAUGUGUUCUUUGUAUCUUGACGGUUCUUGUUAAGACCCUGAAUACAGUACUCAUGAGACCUUUCAUCUAUAUUUUGUUUGCUCCUUACCUACCCAGUCCAUGCCUUGUUUGUUCCUUAACUACUUUAUGACUUAAGACUGACCAUAUUCUUUGUAUAUACCUAGAAUGAUAUAAAAGCAGACUG